CACCCUUUGCAGCUAUAAGAGCUUCAACUUUUCUGGAGAGGCUUUCCACAAGGUUAGGAAUGUUUAUGGGAAUUUUGACCAUUCUUCCAGAUAUGCAUUUGUGAGGACAAGAAGCCCUGGCCUCGCAGUCUCCAAUCUAAUUCAUCCCAAAGUUGUUCUGUCAAACUGUUCCACAUCAAACUCGCUCAUCCAUGUCUUUAUGGACCUUGAUUUGUGCACCGGUUACAGUCAUGUUAGAGCAGGAAGGGGCCAACCCCAAACUGUUCCCACAAAGUUGGGAUUAUGAAAUUGUCCAAAAUGUCUUGGUAUGCUGAAGCAUUAAGAGUUCUUUCACUGGAACUAAGGAGCUGAGUUAAAGUCAUUUUGUUUUAAUACCACUGUGGAAUAUUGGAAUAUUUAGUAGCAAGGCCUGUACUUGUUGCACAGGUGAAAUCCUAUCAUGGUACCAUGUUGGAAUGUGUGUAGAAGCAGUCUGCAUGCCUAGGUGCAUGAUUGUAUACACCUGUGGUCAUGGAAGUGAUUGGAACACCUGAAUUAAAUGAUCUGAAUGUGGGAGUUGAUACUUUUCGGUGUACCUAAUGUAGUCUACCUUAGUCUUUUUUUUCUUUUUUUUCAAGCUUUUUUUUUACUUUAUUAAGAAGCAUUUUGAAAAAAUUGGCAACAGCUGAUUGGAAUCCAAGUAGAUUUUUGUUGAAGGAACAAAGAUGCCGAUCAGAAGUAAAUUUUCACUGAGAUUUCUGUUUGUUUCACCCUUUUUUUUUUUAAAUUCCUUUGUCCUUCCUUGAUAUCAACAUUCAAUAUUCCAAACCAUAUCUCCCAUCUUUUACUUCUCUGCUGAUUUCCAUCUCUAUGUUCAACAUACUACUUUUCUGUCUCAGCUCUCCGUCUUCGGCCCUUUGUCUCCAAUUCCAUGGCCCGUUUUUUUCCAUCUUUUUCCUCCACAAAGGGAGGGAGUUGUUAUAUAAACCUGUUGUUUUUCCUCAUCAUCUCCUGACAACAGUGCAGAACACUCUCUGAUGCAGUUCCCACAAAUGCAGAAGCUCACGCAACUAUGCUGCUGCAGACGCACUGCUGCACUGAGUUUUGAUCACUUGUAUCCAGUCGGUUCUUUUUGAUUUCCCCUCGCACCUUCAUGUAUUGCAAACAACCUUAUACUUUCAUCUCUGCAUUAUCUGCUCUGGUUGUCAUUAUCACAUACGCACACGCUUACGCAAAUGGUCAGCCAUUAGCACAAGUACAACACUUUGAAGCUAUAACCCUUACAUGCAUAUAAACACAUUUUGUCUAUCUACUCCCACACACUCUUUGUGGCCUAUACCAGCCGGUCUGCGGAGCGAAUACGUCCUGCUGUAUUAGGCAUCCCACACACACACACA
ensembl:lncRNA